rnacentral:rRNA from 1 species
AGAUGGCUUAGUGCUCGAAAGAGAGCCGUAACACAGGUGCUGCAUGGCUGUCGUCAGCUCGUGUCGUGAGAUGUUGGGUUAAGUCCCGCAACGAGCGCAACCCUUGUCAUUAGUUGCUACGAAAGGGCACUCUAAUGAGACUGCCGGUGACAAACCGGAGGAAGUGGGGAUGACGUCAAGUCCUCAUGGCCCUUAUAGGUGGGGCUACACACGUCAUACAAUGGCCGGUACAAAGGGUCGCAAACCCGCGAGGGGGAGCCAAUCCAUCAAAGCCGGUCGUAGUCCGGAUCGCAGUCUGCAACUCGACUGCGUGAAGUCGGAAUCGCUAGUAAUCGUGGAUCAGCAUGUCACGGUGAAUACGUUCCCGGGUCUU